rnacentral:rRNA from 1 species
GAUGAACGCUGGCGGCGUGCCUAAUACAUGCAAGUCGAGCGAACGGACGAGAAGCUUGCUCCUCUGACGUUAGCGGCGGACGGGUGAGUAACACGUGGAUAACCUACCUAUAAGACUGGGAUAACUUCGGGAAACCGGAGCUAAUACCGGAUAAUAUUUUGAACCGCAUGGUUCAAUAGUGAAAGACGGUCUUGCUGUCACUUAUAGAUGGAUCCGCGCUGCAUUAGCUAGUUGGUAAGGUAACGGCUUACCAAGGCAACGAUGCGUAGCCGACCUGAGAGGGUGAUCGGCCACACUGGAACUGAGACACGGUCCAGACUCCUACGGGAGGCAGCAGUAGGGAAUCUUCCGCAAUGGGCGAAAGCCUGACGGAGCAACGCCGCGUGAGUGAUGAAGGUCUUCGGAUCGUAAAACUCUGUUAUUAGGGAAGAACAAAUGUGUAAGUAACUGUGCACAUCUUGACGGUACCUAAUCAGAAAGCCACGGCUAACUACGUG